CUAGUCUGUAAAAGAAGCUUGCUGGAACAUCUCUGAGGGGCCUAGCCAUCGAAGGGCAGGUCUGCUGAGCCGGUGGACAACCCAGAGAGGAGCAGCCGAGAGGCUCGCUGCAUGGAGAUAGCGGAAGCCAUGGUGUCGUCUCUCAUGAAGGAUAGCUCGGAAAGCCUCGGGGAGCGACCCUUUGAACUUGGCCAUGGCUUGCCACAUAUUGAAGUCAUAUCGGCCAAGGAGGGCUUGGUGGUUGGCCACUCUCAGCUGAAGGCUGGAAGACGAAUAAACCUUUUGCCCCAAA